GGCCUGACCGGCCCGGAGCAGCCGGGCUCGGACCUUCCGGCGGUUCGCCAGCGGUUCGUGCUCGAACCGCGGACGGGUCA
rnacentral:tRNA from 1 species